UUUCCUUUGGGGGGACUUG
rnacentral:rRNA from 1 species